rnacentral:rRNA from 1 species
CGAACUCGUCCAAGUUGCUUCGGCGGCGCGGCCUCCCUCACGGGGGCGCCGCAGCCCCGCCUCUCCGGAGGUGUGGGGCGCCCGCCGGAGGUACGAAACUCUGUAUUAUAGUGGCAUCUCUGAGUAAAAAACAAAUAAGUUAAAACUUUCAACAACGGAUCUCUUGGUUCUGGCAUCGAUGAAGAACGCAGCGAAAUGCGAUAAGUAAUGUGAAUUGCAGAAUUCAGUGAAUCAUCGAAUCUUUGAACGCACAUUGCGCCCGCUAGUACUCUAGCGGGCAUGCCUGUUCGAGCGUCAUUUCAACCCUCAAGCCCUGCUUGGUGUUGGGGCCCUACGGCUGCCGUAGGCCCUGAAAGGAAGUGGCGGGCUCGCUACAACUCCGAGCGUAGUAAUUCAUUAUCUCGCUAGGGACGUUGCGGCGCGCUCCUGCCGUUAAAGACCAUCUUUAACUCAAGGUUGACCUCGGAUCAGGUAGGAAUACCCGCUGAACUUAAGCAUAUCAAUAAGCGG